rnacentral:rRNA from 1 species
CAACGCCGCGUGGAGGAUGAAGUCCUUCGGACGUAAACUCCUUUCGAUCGGGACGAUAAUGACGGUACCGGAAGAAGAAGCCCGGCUAACUUCGUGC